rnacentral:rRNA from 1 species
UUGCAGUUAAAAAGCUCGUAGUCGGAUUUUGGCAUCACGCCGAACUGUCUGCCGAUUGGUAAGUACGGUUUGGCGGGUGCUUCUUUCUUGAAGCUCGUUCCCUUCUUAACUGAAGGGUUCGUUGGUUCAGGUUCUUUUACUUUGAGAAAAUUAGAGUGUUCAAAGCAGGCCUAUGCUCUGAAUAGGUUAGCAUGGAAUAAUAGAAUAGGACUUUGGUUCUAUUUUGUUGGUUUCUAGGACCGAAGUAAUGAUUAAUAGGGACAGUUGGGGGCAUUCAUAUUCCAUUGUCAGAGGUGAAAUUCUUGGAUUACGGAAGAUGAACUUCUGCGAAAGCAUCUGCCAAGGAUGUUUUCAUUGAUCAAGAACGAAAGUUAGGGGAUC